CUGUUUUGUAGUUUUGUGUUUAUAGUGUUUAUGAGACUUGGAUAACUCAGCAAUUUACAUACAAAUGAUCAUUUGUAAUGUUCAUGGAGAACUGUGAAAUGGUGGAACCUACAUAAAGGAUGGAAUAUAAUGAUGUACAUAUCAUCAGAUUACUGGAAGAUGUCAGGGUCUGUGAAUUUUAUCUCCACUGGGAUAUGAAGGUAUGAUACAUUAGCAUACUUGAUCUUGAUUAUUAUUAUUAUAACGGAAACAGAGAAGAGGCAGUAGCCUAUAAAUCUCAUACAAAAUGAAAAGAAAUGACACUUCAAAAGAUAAAAAGAUGAAGAAAUAAAAUGCAGCAAUCCUAUGCACAUAGAAACUACAAUGAGUCUAGUCUGUUUUUAAAAGAGUUUACACUCUCAGCGCAAACAACACUGGCUGGUAGUGAGUUCCACUCCGCAAUCCCGCGAUUCGGUAGAAAAAACUGAUGAUAAGUCUAUCCUCUUUUUAAUGUAUGAAGGUAGAGUUAUAGGUUUGAGUAAAUGUGUAUGGUUGUAUUCACAAAUUUACUCCAAGA